rnacentral:rRNA from 1 species
GACGAACGCUGGCGGCGUGCCUAAUACAUGCAAGUAGAACGCACAGUUUAUACCGUAGCUUGCUACACCAUAGACUGUGAGUUGCGAACGGGUGAGUAACGCGUAGGUAACCUGCCUGGUAGCGGGGGAUAACUAUUGGAAACGAUAGCUAAUACCGCAUAAUAUUAAUUAUUGCAUGAUAAUUAAUUGAAAGGUGCAAUUGCACCACUACCAGAUGGACCUGCGUUGUAUUAGCUAGUAGGUGAGGUAACGGCUCACCUAGGCGACGAUACAUAGCCGACCUGAGAGGGUGAUCGGCCAAACUGGGACUGAGACACGGCCCAGACUCCUACGGGAGGCAGCAGUAGGGAAUCUUCGGCAAUGGACGAAAGUCUGACCGAGCAACGCCGCGUGAGUGAAGAAGGGUUUCGGAUCGUAAAGCUCUGUUGUAAGAGAAGAACGGGUGUGAGAGUGGAAAGUUCACACUGUGACGGUAUCUUACCAGAAAGGGACGGCUAACUACGUG